GGUCUGUUGGUCUAGUGGUGACGACGCUUCGUUUACACCGAAGAGAUCCCGAGUUCGAACCUCGGACAGAUCA